AAAGAUAACUGUUAGGUGAAUGAAUGAAUGAAUGAAUGAACAGGUAGCACCAACACACUGGAAAAGAAAGGAAACCACUCAGGAGUUUUGCAAGAGUGUUCCAGGGCCCCGGGGCAAGGCUGCACUUUGUCUUCCUGCCUGCAUUUCAUAGCUGAAUUUUAGUUCACAUGUACCUGAGGACCCAACACACACACGGACUCAGUAGCAGGGAAACCUGGCAUCUCAUUCAAGCACCUUCUUCCCCACACGGCCCUCUCCAGGGUGGGUAAUGGGCCACCCCGUUGUAUGACCUUCAUAGCAUUUACCGUUCUCUGAAAAUACCUUGCUAGCUGUUUGCCUACUUGCCUCCUUCCACUACAACGUAACCUCAGGAGGUCCACGUCCUGGUCACCAGGCUGGGUCUGCAGUGUCUGGCUACUUCAAAUCUCUCUUUGGUUCUGCCGUCACAUCGCCUCCUUCUUUUGUGUCAAAUCUCUCUUGGCCUCCUUCUUAUAAAGACCCUUGUGAUGAUGCUUAGGACCAAGCCAGAUAAUACAGGAUAACCUCCCCAUCUCAAGAUCCAUGACUUUAAUCACACCUGCAAAGUCCCUUCUGCUGUAUAACGUGGCAUUUACAGGGUCUGGGGGUGAGGACCUGGACAUCUUGGGGGCAUGGCUGAGCUGACCCCAGGGCCUCGCAGAAGGCAUCUGUGCAGGGGGGCCUUCUGGAAGCCAGGGCCCGACAGGGUGUUGUCAGCAGCUAUCGGCUCCAGUGACUCGGGCAGUGGGGAUGGGCAGGUUCCAAAGAAGCCACACAAGUGGGCACAGAAUGACUGCAGGCCUGUGUCUGCCAUAGCCAAGGUCAUUUCACAGCUGAGAGUGAGCUCCAGCUCCACCAGCUACGGGAGACUGUUCUGUCUUCUCUGCAGCAGCCCCGACACACGUGCUGGGGGAGCCGGACACAGCUCCCAGGACGCAGAAGCCUGCAAAGCGGUGAGAGGAACGGUGGGAGAGCUGGGGGGGGCACGGCUCCGCAUCCGAGAACUGGGCAGAGAAUUUGUAAAUUAGAUGUCAGAUUGAAGCCUUGAGAGCCGACGGGACUGGCGCUUUAACAGCUGGAUAAUGGCACAUGGAGCAUCCUCCAAGAGUGACUGGGGAAACUGCAGGAUCUGCCAGGAUCUCUUCUGGGGACCAGGCUGAAAGGGUCAGACACGAGAAAGCAAACACUCUUCUGCUUCCAUUGCCCUUCGCGGAGGCUCUUGUUCAAUAAACAAGUUUCUCUGUCAUCCUCCCUCCUGGGAGGGCUCAGGUGACCUCGCUUUAAGAAAACCUGGUAGGACAGCACCAAGCCUCAUACAGGAGUGAGAAAUCCUGAGGAAUCUUCCUUUCCAGCCUGGGCUUCCACUACAAGCAAGCUAUGCUUUGAAAAUCUGCUCUAAUGAACGACAGCAGCAAGGGGACUGACCCUCACAACAUUUAUCACAAUGAGUCUUGUACACUGGAGGGUCUACUUGUACCACCGGCAAUGAACGUGCUGCUCAAACAGCUGGACUUUGGCUGCUUUGUUGCUGUGAUCCUCAAGGUGACCCGUCUCCUGUGCAUCCAUCACACCCACUUCAGAUCCCGCCUUCUCUGGGGAGCCUCCCUCUGACCACGGCAGUCCAUAGUGCCUGCUCCCUUCCACCAACUCAUUCAUUCAUUCAUUCACUCAUUCUUUCAUGAGUGUCUACUGAGGGUCUGCUCUGUGCCAGAAAAAAACAGGUCCUUCCCAGCACUAAUCACUUCCAUCCUACUCAAAUCGACGAUGCUGAAUUUUACCUGCCCCUGGAAAACAGCGAAGAUUUAGAAACCCUCUCACCCUUUUGUGUUCUGCAAAGACGGCUCACUGCAAAGCACCAACCUUCCACAGGUGACUCGGUUGCAACUCACAGAUCCUCCCCGCCCCGUUUACCUGUGACAAGUACGCGGGCCUCUCACUGUUGUGGCCUCUCCGGUUGUGGAGCACAGGCUCCGGACGCACAGGCUCAGCGACCAUGGCUCACGGGCCCAGCCGCUCCGCGGCAUGUGGGAUCUUCCCGGACUGGGGCGCGAACCCACGUCCCCUGCAUCGGCAGGCGGACUCCCAACCACUGCACCACCAGGGAAGCCCCAACCAUCUUCCCCCUUUUUAAGUGUACGGUUCAGUUGUGUUCAUCGUUAUGCUACCUCAACCACCAUCCACCUCCGGAACUUUUUCAUCUUGCAAAACUGAAACUCUGUCCUCAUUAAACCACUUCCCAUCCUUCCCUCCCUCAGCCCCUGAUAACCACGAUUCUACUUUCUGUC